UACGAAGGGGGCUAGCGUUGCUCGGAAUCACUGGGCGUAAAGGGUGCGUAGGCGGGAAGGAAAGUCAGAUGUGAAAUCCCUGGGCUCAACCCAGGAACUGCAUUUGAAACUCCCUUUCUUGAGUACCGGAGAGGAAGGUGGAAUUCCUGGUGUAGAGGUGAAAUUCGUAGAUAUCAGGAGGAACACCGGUGGCGAAGGCGGCCUUCUGGACGGUAACUGACGCU
rnacentral:rRNA from 1 species